rnacentral:misc_RNA from 1 species
UCGAUCACUCCCUACACUCUAUCUCCGGAUGGGAUGUAGGGAGGACCAUCGUCAACCCUGUCUAUGAGUACUAUUGUCCGUUUCCUCGGCAGGGACGCCUGCCGCUGGAAGCCUCUUAUAAACCUUUUGCAUUAGCAUCUAUAUUCUGAUAUAACUAUAAUCUUUA